rnacentral:lncRNA from 1 species
CAUGUCAACAUGUUAUCAAUAUAAAAAAAAUUAUGGAAGAUACACUUUAGAUUUUUUUCAUGAUAAGUCUUCAAAAUCUUGGGUUUUUUUACAGCUACAGCACAACCCAGUUUGAAGCCGCCACAUCUCAACUUCAGUAGCAAUGUGUGUCUCGUGGCAGUCAUCAUAGACAGCUCAGCUGUAAGCAGUAAACUCCCUGAGGGCUCAGAACCACAACAGCCUUACUGCUCUAUCCACAGCACCAGACUGUGCUUAACUCAAAGUAAGCCAAGUAUUUGAUAUUUUUUAAAAAAAUACAAUUUUAAGGAAUAAUUGUACGGAAGAAGAAAGGGAAGCCCAGAGAGAGGAAGGGAUUGACUCCACGGUCAUAGCACUAAUUAAUGGGAAACCACUACCAGCCCUCAUCUGGAGCUAUACACCCCAGCACCUCCUGGAAACUGGCGGCAUCACUCAGGCCAGUCUUCCCCACUGGGUGAUGGCAGAUAGGGACUCACAUAUCUACUUCCAUCUGAGCACAAUUGAUCCAGUGAGAGCCUUGCUGCAGAGGGAACGGCAUUUUCCCAGGCAAUCUUUGGUCUCUCCCCUGGUGAAGAAUUAUCAUGCCAUCUGGAACAAGAACUAUGAGAUUGAAAUGGGCCAGGAAUGACAGUUUACAUUUUCUAAAAGAAGAAAAGCAAAUUUGUAAGAGGAGAUGUGACUUGUCCAAGUUCCAGACUUCACAUCCGCCGGAGUCUUCCACACCAGCACCUCCUAAGGAUCAACCCAUUUGAGCUACGUAAGUAAUUUAUGUGCCUGUUUAUCUUCAGGUGCUCUCUCUUGUUGGCAAGUGAGGUAUUCUUGUAGAAAUCUUAUGUGUGCACACAUGCAAAGGGGCAUAAAUACAUAUGAAGGCUGAUAUUUCUGAUCAUUCAAGCAUCCGUUAUCCUCUGACUCAAAUGUGUAUUAAUUCUUUGCUCGUGGUGGCUGCCCUGGUGGCUCAGAUGGUAAAGAACCCGUCUACAAUGCAGGAGAUCCAGGUUUGAUCCCUAGGUGAGGAACAUCCCCUAGAGAAGGGACUGGCUACCCAAUCCAGUAUUCUUUCCUGGAGAAUUCCAUGGACAGAGGAGCCUGGCAAGCUACAGUCCACGGGG